rnacentral:rRNA from 1 species
GACGAACGCUGGCGGCGUGCUUAACACAUGCCAGUCGAACGGAAAGGCCCUGCUUUUGUGGGGUGCUCGAGUGGCGAACGGGUGAGUAGCACGUGAGUAACCUGCCCUUGACUUUGGGAUAACUUCAGGAAACUGGGGCUAAUACCGGAUAGGAGCUCCUGCUGCAUGGUGGGGGUUGGAAAGUUUCGGCGGUUGGGGAUGGACUCGCGGCUUAUCAGCUUGUUGGUGGGGUAGUGGCUUACCAAGGCUUUGACGGGUAGCCGGCCUGAGAGGGUGACCGGCCACAUUGGGACUGAGAUACGGCCCAGACUCCUACGGGAGGCAGCAGUGGGGAAUAUUGCACAAUGGGCGGAAGCCUGAUGCAGCAACGCCGCGUGCGGGAUGACGGCCUUCGGGUUGUAAACCGCUUUCGCCUGUGACGAAGCGUGAGUGACGGUAAUGGGUAAAGAAGCACCGGCUAACUACGUG